UACGUAGGGUGCAAGCGUUGUCCGGAAUUAUUGGGCGUAAAGAGCUCGUAGGCGGUCCGUCGCGUCGGAUGUGAAAAUCCAGGGCUCAACCCUGGACCUGCAUUCGAUACGGGCAGACUAGAGUUCGGUAGGGGAGACUGGAAUUCCUGGUGUAGCGGUGAAAAUGCGCAGAUAUCAGGAGGAACACCGGUGGCGAAGGCGGGUCUCUGGGCCGAAACUGACGCUGAGGAGCGAAAGCGUGGGGAGCAAACAGG
rnacentral:rRNA from 1 species